AUUGAACGCUGGCGGCAGGCCUAACACAUGCAAGUCGAGCGGAUGAAGGGAGCUUGCUCCUGGAUUCAGCGGCGGACGGGUGAGUAAUGCCUAGGAAUCUGCCUGGUAGUGGGGGAUAACGUCCGGAAACGGGCGCUAAUACCGCAUACGUCCUGAGGGAGAAAGUGGGGGAUCUUAGGACCUCACGCAAUCAGAUGAGCCUAGGUCGGAUUAGCUAGAUGGUGGAGUAAAGGCCUACCAAGGCGACGAUCCGUUACUGGUCUGAGAGGAUGAUCAGUCACACACGAACUGAUACGCAGUCCAGCCUCCUACGUGAUGCCGCAGUGGGGUAUAUUAGCCACUGGGCCAAAUCCUACUCCACCCUUGCCGCGUGUGUGAACAAGGUCUUCUCAUUGUAAAGCACUUUAAGUUGGGUGUCUGGGCAGUAACUUAAUGCCUUGCUGUUUUAACGUUACCAACAGCAUCUGCUCCGGCUCACUUCUUG
rnacentral:rRNA from 1 species